rnacentral:misc_RNA from 1 species
CCAUACAUCACUUAUAAAUAUGUAUCUAUGUAGUUAAACACUAGGCACAUUUUAUAUUGCAUUCUUAAUUGAUGAAGUGCCAUGAAUGUUGUUUUUGGUAAUUUAAAGCAGUGUGCGUGCAUUGGUGUGCGUGUGUUGUGUGGAAUUGGAUAUGGAUAGGACGGAUAGAUGUGGCUUGAGAGACACUCACUGGGACCCGGUCCUUUAUGGAUAAGUCGGGGUAGGCACGACUCGAGAUGAUCUCGUUGGCCUCCGCAUUUGGUCUAUUAAGCGAAAGUUCGGCUUGAGAGACACUCGCUAGUAAAAGUUGAAUUAAAAGAGCUGUAUAGGGGGAUCAACUCCCGUAUAUGUACUGUUUGAAUAUGAUUAGGUGUGUGAGUGCCCCAAAUUACCUUUUUACUGUUAUGAUAUGAUUGUAUAAAAAUUAUUAUGGUGUUGCAUUCCACUCUUUAG